CAUUCAACGUAUUCCAUGUGAGAGCUUGAACAUCACAAAAUAUGAUUGAAGACUGAGCAUAGGAAGAGCUAUACGCAGGGAAAAUGUUUUUUGAGGAGCCGGAUAGAGAUGGUGAUAGCCAAGAAACUCUUUCAGGCGGGUAGGUGUCUAGGUCUGAAUCCUCCUCUUCACCGUGGAUGCCACUAUGACCUCAUCGCCAUCUCAUGUCGCAUGGGUAUUGGGAGAAGCACAAAAUGAUUGGUGGAAAUCAUGUAGACAAGGAAGAGGAUUAAGGAGAAAAAGCAAACAUGCAGAGUGAAUGAUGUAAGAGGUCUUGGAGACACCGGGGGAGCAGAGAUUCAUGUCUAUUAUGGAUGAAAACUAGAAACGAAGUUAUGAUGGUGAAGUUCAAACAGUUUCUAUGAGUGAUCUUUGAUUGAAAGCUGCGUUUUUAGAAGGAGAAAGCUCUUUAAGACUAUGAAUCAGCUGCUAGAAUAGAAG